GACAGAGGGUGCGAACGUUGUUCGGAAUUACUGGGCGUAAAGCGCAUGUAGGCGGCAGCGCAAGUCGGGCGUGAAAUCCCACGGCUCAACCGUGGAAGUGCACUCGAAACUGCGCAGCUAGAGUCCUGGAGAGGAAGGUGGAAUGCUUGGUGUAGAGGUGAAAUUCGUAGAUAUCAAGCGGAACACCGGUGGCGAAGGCGGCCUUACUGGACAGUGACUGACGGCUGAGACGCGAAAGCGUGGGGAGCGAACGAGGAAUUGAUGA
rnacentral:rRNA from 1 species